GCAGAAAAUGCCGGAGGAACUCAGCAACUUUGGAAAGGAAUAACGAGUUAACUUUCCAAAUCAAGACCCUUGCUGGUGAAGGGUCCAGGCCUGAAACUUUGACUGCUUAUUCCCCUCCACAGGUGCUGCCCGACCUGCUGAGUUCCUCCAGCAUUUUGUGUGUGUUGCUCUGGAUUUCCAGCAUCCGCAGAGUCUUUGUUUACGGGGAGCAGCUCCCCAGCCCAGGGGAAGGUUGAUCAGGACACCUUGGUGGUUCUCCACCAGCCAGGUCCCAAGGGUGCUGGGUCAGCGUGUUCCGCAUGUUGAAUGUGUAGGGAGUGAGUGGCACAGCAGCUAGUCACCGUUCCACACACUCCCAACCACCCUGACCUCCGGCGUGGAGUGUGUGUGUGUCAUCCCAUGGUCACUAGUGAGGUACCUGGCCACUGUAAAGGGCAGAGGAGUGGUGUGGGAUCCUGACCAGGGAGGCAAAAUACCAUUAAUCAGCAUGGAUAACGACCUCUGCAUUCGGCCCUCUCCCUUGGACCGCAGACCGUGCAGCUUCCGCCACCAGUCACGGACAUUUCAGAAGAGCACGGUUAGCGCAAUUCCGCACAGUGCCAGUGGUCUGCGAUGGGGGUCCGGUUUCCAGCACUGCCCGUAAGGAGUUUGUAAGCUCCCCGUGACCGUGUGGGUUUCGUCCGGCAGUUCCUGCUUCCGCCCACAGUCUGAGAGUUAGUAAUUCAUGGGUACGCAGAAACCCGGUGACCGUUGCGGGCCGCCCCCGGCACGUCCUUGUGUCCUUGAACUGUGCUGGUCAUCGAUGCAAUUCACUGACAAACAGGGCUAAUCUUUAACCAGAGCCAAUGCAACAAACACCAACUCUGCACGGCAUACCUUAACUGGGCGUUGCCUCGGCCUGCGGGCCUGAGUCACAAGGAAAGAUUGAAUAGAAUUGGACUUCAUUCCCAGGUUGCAUCACCACCUGGAAUGGCACAGGGGGCAGUGAGGGACCACCCCUCCCACCAUCGGUAGUAUCUACAGGAGACACUGUCACAAGAAGGCAACACCCAAAGAUCCUCACCAUCCGGACCACGUCACCCUCUCGCAGCUCCCAUUGGGCAGGAGGUACAGAAACCUGAGGCCCCACACCUCAGGUUCAAACACAACUACUUCCCUUCAGCCAUUCUGUUCUUAAGCCGACCAGCACAACCCUUAUCACUGCCGUUAAGUAGCAAUACGGCCACUUCCUUCACCAACACAGACUUCUUGUUUCAGUAGCAGAUGAUUCUGCAAGUGCUGGAAAUCCGACGUGUACGUGCUGGAGGAACUCACCAGGUCAGGCAGCGUCUGUGGAGAGGGAUAAAGAGUCGACAUUUCAGCCGAGACCCUUCAUGAGAACUCUCCAUCGAUGCUGCCCGAGCUGUCAUCAUCUGGCCUGUCGGCACAUGUAGUAUCUCCAAAAUGCAAAGCAUCAGCUAUCUCCAAUAUCUGAAGUUUGUUGCCAAGAAUGGAAACCUUGAUCGUCUCACGGAGCGUUCGCAUCAGCCCACAGCCCUGACGACCUCAAGAGGAACGAUCUGGAGAUGGCAUCUGGUCACUUGCCCCCACCCCCCUCAACCUGGGGACGCCACUUACACUUUACGGUCAUUGAGCAACAUGCCAUUC